rnacentral:rRNA from 1 species
UACGGGGGGGGCAAGCGUUGUUCGGAAUUACUGGGCGUAAAGGGCUCGUAGGCGGCCAACUAAGUCAGACGUGAAAUCCCUCGGCUUAACCGGGGAACUGCGUCUGAUACUGGAUGGCUUGAGUUCGGGAGAGGGAUGCGGAAUUCCAGGUGUAGCGGUGAAAUGCGUAGAUAUCUGGAGGAACACCGGUGGCGAAGGCGGCAUCCUGGACCGACACUGACGCUGAGGAGCGAAAGCUAGGGGAGCAAACGGG